GUACACCCCGGCCGCCUCCUCCACUUGCCUACUCCUGGCGACGCGCGCCGCGCCUAGCACGCGCCCGGCCGUUCCCCUCCUGCUGCCUCCUCCUAGCGACGCACGCCGCGGUCAGGGGGCCUGUUUCCCUAGGUCCCCAACGCCGACGGUCGAUUACAGUGCCAUCUAGGUGUUAUUGCUGCAUACUUGGGUGGGAGAUUGAACAUAUGUGCCAACUUUCUUCUGUCGGCAGAGAGACCAAAAUGGCUGGAGAAGGAGAUGUGCCUGACAAUGAAACAGAGGGUUCUGCAAAUCCGAUCUCACGACGGCACUCAAAAAGGGCUGCUAAGCGGCAGCCGCAUGGCGAUGAUAAGGACGGGGAUGGAGAGGAUGACGAUGGUGGCGAAAGAUUCCUCUUAGUAAAACUGCAGAGAAGAAAGGUGCGCAUGAAGGCAGUAUCCAAAGGGGUAGAUGCCACAUCUUCUGCAGCAGCCGCUGAGAAGGACUAAUUAAGCAUUGGCAUGCUCAACUUUCUCAGUUGCUCAACGUUGCCAUCUUCAAGUUUUUUAGAAUUGUCCCAAGAGGGGGUGAGGGUAAUGAAGAAGAUAAUGCAGAACGACAGUCACAAGCUGGUAGGAUAAGGGCAUCUCCUGGGAGGUUGGUGAAGUUGAACAAUAAGUUGAGCCCAUUACAAAAGUCCCCCCCUCUGCCACAAGCUGUUUGGAGGCCUGGAUUCAUGUUUUAGUAGCACACAUUUACAACAAAAGUUGGCUUUAGAUUCAUGUUUAGUUGCACAAAUAUGUGUUUUUUUUUGCACAGACUGCACACAUCCAUGUCUGUGUGUGUUGAUUGCACACAUUUACAGCAAAAGCUGGCUUUUGGAUCCAUGGUUAGUUUGCACAUCUCUUUUCUAGUCUUGGCUGUUUGGUUGCACACAUAGAAGGAAAAGUUGGUUUUGGAUCCAUGUUUUAGUUGGCACAAAUAUAGCCUUCUAUUUGCACACAUGGCAUAAAAAGGUUUCUUUUGGAACCCAUGUUUUUUUAGUUGCGCAAAUAUGUGCUUCUUUCUGCACAAACAGUACAUCCAGUCCAUAUUUUCUAGUAUUUGGUUGUUUGGUUGCACACAUUGCAUAAAAAGUUGGCAUUGUUGGAACUGUGAUUAGUUGCACAAACAGGAACAUCCAGUCCAUGUUU